rnacentral:rRNA from 1 species
GGAGGGAGCGGCCGGUCCGCGUCCUUUGGGCGCGUGUACUAGCGUGUCUCCCACCUGCCUUGCGGGGACUGUGUCGUGCGGUUUUGCCGUCGCGGCCAGGAACCGCAUCAUUUACUGUGAGAAAAUUAGAGUGUUCAAAGCAGGUCUGCGCGUCUUUGAAUACGUUAGCAUGGAAUAAUAAGAUAGGACUCUGUGCCUAUUUUGUUGGUUUGCGAGCCAGAGUA